rnacentral:tRNA from 2 species
GCUGGCGUAGCUCAGUAGGUAGAGCGUAUCCUUGGUAAGGAUAAGGUCACCGGUUCAAUCCCGGUCGUCAGCUCCA